AAUCCAUAGGUUAAUGAGGCGAACCGGGGGAACUGAAACAUCUAAGUACCCCGAGGAAAAGAAAUCAACCGAGAUUCCCCCAGUAGCGGCGAGCGAACGGGGAGGAGCCCAGAGCCUGAAUCAGCAUGUGUGUUAGUGGAAGCGUCUGGAAAGGCGCGCGAUACAGGGUGACAGCCCCGUACACAAAAGCGCAUGUGCUGUGAGCUCGAUGAGUAGGGCGGGACACGUGGUAUCCUGUCUGAAUAUGGGGGGACCAUCCUCCAAGGCUAAAUACUCCUGACUGACCGAUAGUGAACCAGUACCGUGAGGGAAAGGCGAAAAGAACCCCGGCGAGGGGAGUGAAAAAGAACCUGAAACCGUGUACGUACAAGCAGUGGGAGCACAGGUUUACCUGUGUGACUGCGUACCUUUUGUAUAAUGGGUCAGCGACUUAUAUUCUGUAGCAAGGUUAACCGAAUAGGGGAGCCGUAGGGAAACCGAGUCUUAACCGGGCGUUAAGUUGCAGGGUAUAGACCCGAAACCCGGUGAUCUAGCCAUGGGCAGGUUG
rnacentral:rRNA from 1 species